GCCCUGGUUGUCUAAUGGUUAAGAUUUGGUGCUCUCACUGCUGCAGCCCAGGUUCAUUUCCUGGUCAGGGAA
rfam:Equus caballus chromosome 3, whole genome shotgun sequence.